AUAAUUUAAAAAAAGCAAAUAAUUCCAACUCAUAUCUCUCAUCUUACCUCCUUGGUACCAUCUAGUGCGUAAGAAACAAUGUAAUCAUAUUUUCAUAAAACGAAAACAAUAUAAAAAAUAGUUUAAUAUGUUUAUUAUGGUUUGAUAAAAUAACUUACAAUGUGUUGUAUGAGAAAGAUACUGCUGACUGUCAGACCACAUGAAGCAUGAUGUAUCGCCAUAAAAACUAAAAUUGAAUUUUUUAUUAAAAAUUGUUGUUUAAAAAAAUCACACCAGAGGGACAAUUUAGACCAUUGCCUGAAAAAGUUAAAAACACAAAGUCUUCUUGAUAUAUUCACAAACUCUCGACUGACUAUCCCAUUGUAAAGAUACUGGUAUGUCUCUGUGCUUUUAUAGUUGCACACUGAAGACACGUCACCCCCGAUCAACAACACAAAAUCACUGAAUAUAUCUUCAUAUGAUAUAUCAAAACACUUUAAUCCUCACACUGGUUCAUACAUGGCAGGUGUAGUAAAUAUUUACAAUACUGUUAAAAUCAUGUUUUAUGUGUGCUUCCACGAUACUGUUUUCUACCGGCUGGUUAUUGAAACGGAGGUCUUGUACAAAGAAGGGAAAUACGUCAAAUCACUAACGUCCACAUUCAAAAAUAAGGUGGAUACAGUUCAAGACUAAUAUUUAUUUUAAUCUUUUAUGGUAACACCUCAUUUACUUGUUCAUUUCAGGUGCGAGCCAAGCCAAUUUUAUUUAUUGGGAAACAGGAUAAAAAGGCUUCGAAUAAGUGGGUUGCAUAUAUUAUUACCCAUUGGCACCCCACUCCUGUCACUACAAUUUUUUGGAGGAGAUGCGGAGGGCUUUAUCUUGACAAAAGGUCAGAGUAAUGUUUAUGUUUAGAGAUUUAGGAUUUAAAAUACAUGUAUAUUCCUUUGUUGAUAUGUACAGAUUUUAUGAUGAAAGUAAACUUGUAUUAUAGCAACCUCCACAGGACAGCAGCCUGAGAGCCUUGCCAUGGAGCGGCCUGAGAGCCCUGCUGUGAAAUGGCCGGAGAACCUCACCAAGAAGUCAGAGGCUAUAUUUGUACUAAAUCUUGUUCUUCUGUCUUCUAGACUCUCUCCAACCUCUCUUGCUCCUACUACCUCUACUGCUUUUACAACAAUUUUCUCUCCACUUUUUUUCCCCACCUUUCACUGCCAUGCUCUAAGUUUUUGCCACAGAGGAAGAGGAAGAUAAAGAAAUCUACCUCUUCCCACUAUACCACACUUGUCUCUCUUCAAUUUGCAUCUGUCUCUUCCAGUUCUAAAUCUCAGAAGUGGCCACUGGUGAAGAACAGAAUAAAGGAUAACUUUUCCUGUUACAUCUUACUCCACAAUUUGCUCCUAGUCAAAUAUGUCUUCAUGUUAAUUAAAUUCAUUUAGCUAACCAGGUAUUUGUUAGCCAGUUCACAGUGUUUUAGAGCCCAAUGUCCAAGGACUGUGGUCAAUGUAAAUUCCUGACUUAAAGGGACACUUCACUUUUUUUUGCUAAUUUUCCAGCAGUAAGUUUUACCGUUUUAGAAUCCAUUCAGCUGAUCUCCGCGUCUGGCACUACCACUUUUAGCAUAGCUUAGCAUAAUACAUUGAAUCUGAUUAGGCCAUUAGCAUCACGCCAAAAAAUAACCAAAGAGUUUCGAUAUUUUUCCUAUUUAAAACUUCUUCUGUAGUUACAUCGUGUACUAAGACAGACGGAAAAUUUAAAGUUGUGAUUUUCUCAGCUGAUAUUUCUAGGAACUAUACUCUUAUUCUGUCGUAAUAAUCAAGGACUUUGCUGUCGUAACAUGGCUGCAGAAGGCAUAAUGAUAUAACGCAGUGCCCGAAAAUAGUCCCCUUAGUAUCUUUCAAUAGCAGGGGCAAUUUCCGGGCACUGCGUAAUAUCAUUUUGGUUGAUUGACAAAAACAAGCACAAAUUUGUUUGACACUAAUGGAAAGGACUGCAUAUCACUUCACAUAAAUAUGGACUCAUGUGAUUCACCUACAAAGCAUGGCAUUCAUGGCUUAAUAAACUUUUUGUCUUUUCAUCAUUUCAGGUUGCUGAAAAUGUAGUUGGCAGAAGGUUUCCUUUUCGAUAAAAUAACUGGGGAACAUAUAAAUGAGAGGAAAGCCGAAUUGAAAGUUCACUGGUUACGUGCUCUGUGUGUGGAAAAACUUGGGAUGACACAUAGGAGCCUGCCAGCGAAUUCCAACACAAGUCCCCACAUCCCAACCAGUUUUCAGCAUGACAGCCUACACCUUUACAUUAUCAAGCACCCUUCAACUGUUUAAUUUUGAGUGUCUUUGCUUGCUGUUCUUUAUUAAAGUUUUUGCACAGUA